ensembl:lncRNA
UGGUGGAUGCUCUGUCAAGGUCGUAAGUGCUUGUUUGUCUAUCGUUUAUGUACUUGUUGACUUUGCCAUAGGUUAUUCUAUAGCAAUGUUUUAAGGGUGGGAGUGUUUUAAUCUGUUUCAUUGCAGUUUCCCUGGUUGCUCUCCUGCAAUUAACAGGUUAAUUGGAUCCACCUGAAGGGAGUCACUUUAAAUCUAGGACACAUGCUCUUGCUCUCUCUCUCUCGUUUUGCAGCCAGCACUGCAGUAGCAGUGUUUCUGCUUCUCCAGUCCCCUUCUUUUUUUCCACUUUUGUUAUUAAAUAAACUUAUUUUGAUUGGCAUACUUUUGUUUUGUGUCCUUUGUUGCAUCCCUAGAGCCAGGGUUGUAACAACACACACACACACACUCAGCACAUCACACACACACUCUCCCCAUCAUACCUUGCGUGAGAGUCUGUGUCUGAUCUCUCUCUUCUCCUCCAUCUGCUCCUGUUCAUUACGAGCUGUGGGACAGGAGCAGGUCAGAGGUGUUGAGUUCACAUCAGCAGAUUCAAGACACAUACAAUGUUAAAGACUGAAGCAGAGCCCGUCUACGGAGAGCCUUCCCACUCCCUAUUAAGUCCUAUUGUACCGAAUUUUGGUUGCAGUUCCGCCAGAGUUCCACUGGGGGCGAUCACCAUGAGUACAAAAUGAAUGGGAGUCUAUGGGGCUAGACGGCUAAAUUUGUCCCUUUCACCCGAUUGCCGUUGAGAAAUCUCAGAUCUGAUUGUAGGUUUUGCAAGUUCAACAUGGGUUAUAGGUCGAAAGUUGAAUGAACGAGUACUUAUGUCCUUUCGAUUUCUUACUGGUUGAGUUGUUGCCCAUAACACGCUAGCAUUCUGCUAAUGAACGCAUAACGUAUGACAUCAUUGACAUUUUAAAAUACUUUUUAAAGCAAAUAAGUGACUCUAAAAAAUCUAACACCCAGCAAUGUGUAAUUUCUUUGCAUCUCCUUUCGAAUACAACAUUCAAAUUACUAGACAAAAAAUUAUAUCCUGAGAAAAGUGGAUUUUGAGGGGUAUACCGCCAUUGACCUCCAUUCAUUCUGCACUCGUCCUGUGAGCGCCCUCAUAUGGAAUCAGAGUGGAACUGCAACCAGUUCAGAAGCCGGAAGUGUAGUGGGAGUGAAACUUCUCGCCAUAUUAGACAUUCUCUGACUGAAGCAAGAUCACUGCACAUUACAGUCAACAUGAACUGAUGUCAUCCACGAGGAACAGGCUGCAUCAUGGGAAGUGGGCUUUGGUGUGUAAGUGUCUCUCUGGGUUCUGGACUCACGUUUGAGGAUGUUCCUCUGCUCCAGCUCUUCAGCCAUGGGCCUCUGACUCAGUCUCCUGUUCCACACACGCACACGCAGCAAAACAGACCAAAAUCUCAGAAACUGAGACACACGAGAGUCACAUUAAAGCUGCAAACAUCUGACGCUUCAGAUAAUCUCAGUAAUGCAGUGUUUGUGUGACACACAUGACAAUCAGUGGCUGUGCAAUCGAAGGUGGUGUGUGUGUGUGUGUGUGAGAGAGAGUGUGUGUGCGUGUGUCUGUGAGUGCGUGUGUGUGUGUGUGAGAGAGAGUGUGUGUGCGUGUGCGUGUGUGUGAGUGAGAGUGUGUGUGUAUGUGUGUGUGUGUGCGUGAGUGUGAGUGUGUAAUUGUGUGCGUGUGUGUGACUGUGAGUGUGUGUGUCUGUGUGUGUGAGAGAGUGUGUGUGUGUGUGUGUGUGUGUGUGUGUGUGUGUAGGUUUGGAAAGGAGUGCACAAAGGAGAAGAAGUAAUUUGAGUGUGUGACAGCAACUAAAUGAAGGUGAAUAAAUCCAAGUACAGUUUUAUAUAGAAACA